UCAAGAGUGGAAGGGGCUUUCUCAUUCCCACAAGAAGGAUGGAUCAGGGUGGUGCCUCAGCUUUGCUUGAAUUUCCAUAGAAGGAAUUCAGCACCUUGAAAUCCCUUGCUACAAGCCCAGAGGUUUCUGACAACAGUGAGAGCAGGGAGGAGGGAGAAGUGUAAUACUUAGCACCCUUUGGAGAAUGGCCCAGAAAAGAGCAGCCAGGAAGAACUGUUAGUCUUCCCCAAGCACUGUUUUCCACUGCCAGACAUUCAUCAUCUCGUCGAAUGUUCACAGCCACCAUGAGGUAAUCAAUACCAUUUCUAUUUUUCAUAUGAGGACACCGAAAGCCAGAGAAGUCGGGUAUUCAGAUUCCAAAUCAUUGUGCUGAGGCAAUCCUGCCUUCGGCUGAAGAAAUAGGGAGCGGGGACAAUGCGUCAGGACGGCCUCUUUUUACUCAGCGUGAGCUUUGUUACUCACCCGAGGUGUUCUACCUUGAAUCAUGGCUUUUGUGAGGAAAACCAGGAUCAUGCAGAAGGAUGAAGUGCUAUUUCCUCAGUGGCACCUUCAGUGCUACUGACACUUUCAAGAAUAUGCGUGUCUAUGCAGCAGAAACAGACACCCUGAGAUGCUGGAUUUGAGAUAAUUCACUGAGUUUUAUCAACAUAUGUGAACACACAGAUUUUCAGCUAAUAUUAGAAGUUGAGAUGAGACUGAUUAACGUGACUCCUAGGCAGGCCUCAUCAUAUCUCCUAAAAGAAGUGCAAGCAUCCUAUUUGAAUACAUACCCUGGCCCUCCUCCUUUUUCCCUUGAGUUCCCUCUUGAGGUUAAUAAAACUUGAUGUAUGAGAUGACGUUGAGUGUCCCAGGCCCAAAGAAGUUCAGGAUGAGUACAAACAUGUGCAUACCGUGGUUAGAAGAUAAGAUUGCUUGGAGUUCUUUGCUUCAUUCUGACCACGUGCAGAUCAGCAUAGAUGGUGAGUGAGGAAAAGCUCUUCCUGUGGACACUUCUGAAUAAG
rnacentral:lncRNA from 10 species